rnacentral:rRNA from 1 species
GACGAACACUGGCGGCGUGCUUAACACAUGCAAGUCGAACGAUGAAGCCCAGCUUGCUGGGUGGAUUAGUGGCGAACGGGUGAGUAACACGUGAGUAACCUGCCCUUGACUCUGGGAUAAGCGCUGGAAACGGCGUCUAAUACCGGAUACGACCUGCCCCGGCAUCGGGUGCGGGUGGAAAGUUUUUCGGUCAAGGAUGGACUCGCGGCCUAUCAGCUUGUUGGUGAGGUAAUGGCUCACCAAGGCGACGACGGGUAGCCGGCCUGAGAGGGUGACCGGCCACACUGGGACUGAGACACGGCCCAGACUCCUACGGGAGGCAGCAGUGGGGAAUAUUGCACAAUGGGCGAAAGCCUGAUGCAGCAACGCCGCGUGGGGGAUGACGGCCUUCGGGUUGUAAACCUCUUUUAGUAGGGAAGAAGGGCUUCGGCUUGACGGUACCUGCAGAAAAAGCACCGGCUAACUACGCGCCAGCAGCCGCGGUAAUACGUAGGGUGCAAGCGUUGUCCGGAAUUAUUGGGCGUAAAGAGCUCGUAGGCGGUUUGUCGCGUCUGCUGUGAAAACCCGAGGCUCAACCUCGGGCCUGCAGUGGGUACGGGCAGACUAGAGUGCGGUAGGGGAGAAUGGAAUUCCUGGUGUAGCGGUGGAAUGCGCAGAUAUCAGGAGGAACACCGAUGGCGAAGGCAGUUCUCUGGGCCGUUACUGACGCUGAGGAGCGAAAGCGUGGGGAGCGAACAGGAUUAGAUACCCUGGUAGUCCACGCCGUAAACGUUGGGAACUAGAUGUGGGGACCUUUCCACGGUCUCCGUGUCGCAGCUAACGCAUUAAGUUCCCCGCCUGGGGAGUACGGCCGCAAGGCUAAAACUCAAAGGAAUUGACGGGGGCCCGCACAAGCGGCGGAGCAUGCGGAUUAAUUCGAUGCAACGCGAAGAACCUUACCAAGGCUUGACAUAUACCGGAAACUUCCAGAAAUGGUUGCCCCGCAAGGUCGGUAUACAGGUGGUGCAUGGUUGUCGUCAGCUCGUGUCGUGAGAUGUUGGGUUAAGUCCCGCAACGAGCGCAACCCUCGUUCUAUGUUGCCAGCACGUCAUGGUGGGAACUCAUAGGAGACUGCCGGGGUCAACUCGGAGGAAGGUGGGGAUGACGUCAAAUCAUCAUGCCCCUUAUGUCUUGGGCUUCACGCAUGCUACAAUGGCCGGUACAAAGGGCUGCGAUACCGUAAGGUGGAGCGAAUCCCAAAAAGCCGGUCUCAGUUCGGAUUGAGGUCUGCAACUCGACCUCAUGAAGUCGGAGUCGCUAGUAAUCGCAGAUCAGCAACGCUGCGGUGAAUACGUUCCCGGGCCU